GUGAGCACAUAUCCUCCCUGUUAAAACAGCAAGGGUUGUGGAUUGCUACAGGGACAAAGCCACAACUGCUGCACGUGGCUUCCACAGACUUCAUACAUCAUUGAAGACUUGUGUGCCAGCCUUCUGCUCCUUAGGUGUUUCUACGUUUUUUAUUUUAUCCAAAAGCACUAGUUAUUCCUGUGGAGUAUGCUAUGAUUUCUCUGAUAUGCUCUUUGCUACUAUAGUUUUCUCACACUAUUGCUUCUCUUGGAUUGAGGACCAAGGACUUCCCUUUCCCAUGAUCACUUCUCACUAAAGUCUUCUUCAACACCCUCUGCUGAGGGUUGAUCUUGACUCAAUCUGAAGGCUAGACCCCCAAGGGCCUCCUUGACCAGCACACAAUGCCUCAGUGCCUUCCCUCUCCUACGAAGCUACUCAGAUUUCUCCAGAGACCCUAACAAGUGCACCUUAAAGGAGUAGCACCAGCACAAAACAGCAUAUUACAUGCCUCUGGCUUUCCUCCGUAUUCCAAGAGGACAACACUCUGAAAUAAUACUUAGAGCAUCGCUUCAAGGAAACACCAGGAGAAAAAAUGGCCAAAUCUUUCCUGGUACUCUGCUCACUUUUGGUCUUCAUCAUGAUUCAUUCUGCCUCACCUUUCGUUUCAGGCCGUCGAGAAUGGUGGCCACCACAUGGAACUAUUAAGGUGCUCUUCCACUAGAUUUCCCAGGAGUAAACUUCUCAUCUGUGUUUGUUUAUUUCUGAUUGUUAUUUUGGAACACGACUUCAGCGAGAACAUCCAUGACACUUCAAGACCUAGUCACAGGAGGUUGCCGGGUACACUGUUAGUUUGGGAGCCCAAAGCAGAGUGAUCCAGACUGGGAACGAAGUUUCAGGCUGUCCAGAAUGGUGGCCACCACGUGGAACUAUUAAGAUCAAAUGUCCUUAUAAGAGAGUAAAUUUGAGUUGACUCCGUGGAACAAUGGACCUGUGUCGUGGCCUAAAACAACCUAUCUGUGGCACCAGUUCUGUGACCUAUGACAAUCCCUGAAGCUUAUACAUUGAGAGCUUGAAAUCCCUUGGAAGAAUUAAGUUUCGUCAUGAUGGCAGUUGCUAGCUGAGUGGAUUUGGAUGUGGAAGAUGACUUCUUUUUCUUGCCAUCACAACAAUUCUCCUCUUACACAUUGUCCCUCCUCCAUCCCUUCUUGCAUGUAUCUUGGUGACAGACAGCUGCCAUUAUUUAUCUCAAAGUAAAUAGCACAAGGUUCCUUUUCAGACUGCUCCUCUCAUUGACUCACUGACUUCUACACUUUCCCAAAUAAAAUGAACUUUUCUGGGCUAGCUAUGUAGUUUAGUGGCAUGGCAUGCUGGAGGUGCUGGGCUUAAUCUCCACCAUUACAAAUAAAUAAAUAAAUGAAUCAAUAAAAUAAAUAAAUAAACUUUUCUGAAAGUUUGAUUUGA
rnacentral:lncRNA from 1 species